rnacentral:rRNA from 1 species
GACGAACGCUGGCGGCGUGCUUAACACAUGCAAGUCGAACGGAAAGGCCCUGCUUUUGUGGGGUGCUCGAGUGGCGAACGGGUGAGUAACACGUGAGUAACCUGCCCUUGACUUUGGGAUAACUUCAGGAAACUGGGGCUAAUACCGGAUAGGAGCUCCUGCUGCAUGGUGGGGGUUGGAAAGUUUCGGCGGUUGGGGAUGGACUCGCGGCUUUCAGCUUGUUGGUGGGGUAGUGGCUUACCAAGGCUUUGACGGGUAGCCGGCCUGAGAGGGUGACCGGCCACAUUGGGACUGAGAUACGGCCCAGACUCCUACGGGAGGCAGCAGUGGGGAAUAUUGCACAGUGGGCGCAAGCCUGAUGCAGCAACGCCGCGUGCGGGAUGACGGCCUUCGGGUUGUAAACCGCUUUCGCCUGUGACGAAGCGUGAGUGACGGUAAUGGGUAAAGAAGCACCGGCUAACUACGUG